UGACUGUCAGGCCACCUUAAGCCACAGUACGGAAGAAGCUGUGCUGCCUGUGAGCCCCGUCCAAGGACGUUAAAAGAAGAAGUCAGGCCCCAAAGCCACGGUUUGAGCAAACCGUGCUGCCUGUAGCUCCGUCGUGGGGACGUAAAACCUGGGAGGCUGCAAACUGUGGAAGCUGUACGCACAGUGUAGCAGACUAGUGGUUAGAGGAGACCCCUCCCAUGACACAACGCAGC
rnacentral:lncRNA from 1 species